AACGAACGCUGGCGGCAGGCUUAACACAUGCAAGUCGAACGCAUCGCAAGAUUAGUGGCAGACGGGUGAGUAACGCGUGGGAACAUACCCUUUUCUACGGAAUAGCUCUGGGAAACUGGAAUUAAUACCGUAUACGCCCUACGGGGGAAAGAUUUAUCGGGGAAGGAUUGGCCCGCGUUGGAUUAGCUAGUUGGUGGGGUAAAGGCAUACCAAGGCGACGAUCCAUAGCUGGUCUGAGAGGAUGAUCAGCCACAUUGGGACUGAGACACGGCCCAAACUCCUACGGGAGGCAGCAGUGGGGAAUAUUGGACAAUGGGCGCAAGCCUGAUCCAGCCAUGCCGCGUGAGUGAUGAAGGCCUUAGGGUUGUAAAGCUCUUUCACCGAUGAAGAUAAUGACGGUAGUCGGAGAAGAAGCCCCGGCUAACUUCGUGCCAGCAGCCGCCGUAAUAC
rnacentral:rRNA from 1 species